rnacentral:rRNA from 1 species
UACAGGAGGUCUCGAGCGUUAGGCGGAAUCACUGGGCUUAAAGCGUGUGUAGGCGGAUCGUUAAGUACCUUGUGAAAUCCCACGGCUUAACCGUGGAACUGCUGGGCAUACUGGCGAUCUUGGGCCAACUAGGGGCAACUGGAACAAGCGGUGGAGCGGUGAAAUGCGUAGAUAUCGCUUGGAACGCCAAAGGUGAAAACAGGUUGCUGGGGUUGUGCCGACGCGUGA